CCGCCGUAGAAGCAACUCCACUGCCCCUUCCUUCUCUCAGGCUAUGAGCUUACCCUCGACUUGAUGCCAUUCCCUUGUUCCGCAACCAACCUGGCUUUCAGGUUCCGGCGACUCAAACAAAUCUCAAGCCUCAAUUCUACUCGGACAUUUUAGUUGUUUACCUAUCCGACAAAGUACGAAGAGUACGAAGAGUACUGAGUUAUGGAGCUGGAUCAAGGACCGACUUGGUUUGGGAAGCAUUCCCGACAGAGAAGUGGAAGACUUCAAUCCGCAGUCUCUGAUGUUUCCUUGGCACAUGAUUAGAUAUAUGGAUGAUAGAUUAUUAAUUUUAAAUCGCAGUCUUGCUUCGUUUCUAGAAUAUCUGUUAGCGUUCGUGUGGUGUAGGUCGGUUCGGCUCAACAGUGGUAUGAUGAAUUGGAUAGUCUAGCCUUUUCACCACGAGAAUCAGAAGUGGUGGAAGAUACUAUAAGAGCUGUUAACCAUAUUGGAGACGAUAAGUUUCAAAUUGAGUGUGCUGUCAAUACAAGUCCUGGAACUAGCGAGGUUAUAGUGUAUGCAGCCGUAUAUUUAAGGCAUAAAAGAGACCAAGAUUGGGAAGGCAAUGGUGACAAACAAGCAGCAGCAGCAGCAGCAGCCUUUUUCCAAGACUUUUAAUUUGUUUGGAGGAAAAAAUAAAUGUAUGGAGGGCAGUUAUCAAUACCAAAUUAUCAGAAUAUUAUAUUCAAACUAACCUUUUUCCAUUGUUCGAGUCAAUUAUAUAAGUAUCAUUACACAGGUAGAAGUCAUUUAUGGAUGCU